rnacentral:tRNA from 1 species
GCCCAAUGUAGCUUACAACACAAGCAGUGGUCUUGUAAACCACAGAAGGCAUAAUGCCCUAGGGCU